ACGCACGCUGGCGGCGUGCUUCACCCAUGCCAGUCGAACGGAAAGGCCCUGCUUUUGUGGGGUGCUCGAGUGGCGAACGGGUGAUUAACACGUGAGUAACCUGCCCUUGACUUUGGGAUAACUUCAGGAAACUGGGGCUAAUACCGGAUAGGAGCUCCUGCUGCAUGGUGGGGGUUGGAAAGUUUCGGCGGUUGGGGAUGGACUGGCGGCUUAUCAGCUUGUUGGUGGGGUAGUGGCUUACCAAGGCUUUGACGGGUAGCCGGCCUGAGAGGGUGACCGGCCACAUGGGGACUGAGAUACGGCCCAGACUCCUACGGGAGGCAGCAGUGGGGAAUAUUGCACAAUGGGCGGAAGCCUGAUGCAGCAACGCCGCGUGCGGGAUGACGGCCUUCGGGUUGUAAACCGCUUUCGCCUGUGACGAAGCGUGAGUGACGGUAAUGGGUAAAGAAGCACCGGCUAACUACGUG
rnacentral:rRNA from 1 species